AACGUAGGACGCAAGCGUUGUCCGGAUUUACUGGGCGUAAAGAGCGCGCAGGCGGUCGAUCAAGUCGAGUGUGAAAGCCCCCGGCUCAACUGGGGAGGGUCAUUCGAUACUGAUCGACUCGAAGGCAGGAGAGGGUAGUGGAAUUCCCGGUGUAGUGGUGAAAUGCGUAGAUAUCGGGAGGAACACCAGUGGCGAAGGCGGUUACCUGGGGCUUUGCUGACGCUGAUGCGCGAAAGCUAGGGGAGCAAACGGG
rnacentral:rRNA from 1 species